UACGAAGGGGGCUAGCGUUGCUCGGAAUCACUGGGCGUAAAGCGUACGUAGGCGGCUUCUUAAGUCAGGGGUGAAAUCCUGGAGCUCAACUCCAGAACUGCCUUUGAUACUGAGGAGCUUGAGUCCGGGAGAGGUGAGUGGAACUGCGAGUGUAGAGGUGAAAUUCGUAGAUAUUCGCAAGAACACCAGUGGCGAAGGCGGCUCACUGGCCCGGUACUGACGCUGAGGUGCGAAAGCGUGGGGAGCAAACAGG
rnacentral:rRNA from 1 species